rnacentral:misc_RNA from 2 species
CCCAACUAUCCCUAUUAAUCAUUACGGUGAUUCAGAAACCAACAAAACAGGACCACCGUCCUAUUCUAUUAUUCCAUGCUAAUGUAUUCAGACGUAAGCCUGCUUUGAACACUCUAAUUUUUUCAAGGUAAAGGUCCUGGUUUCCCACCACGCUAAAUUAAUAACAUGAUGGUUCCCCAGAAGGUAAGAAUUCUACACGCUAGUACAGACCGGAUAGCCCGACCAACGGUAAAAUCCUGAAAUUCAACUACGAGCUUUUUAACUGCAACAACUUUAAUAUACGCUAUUGGAGCUGGAAUUACCGCGGCUGCUGGCACCAGACUUGCCCUCCAA